rnacentral:rRNA from 1 species
GGAGGGUGCAAGCGUUAUCCGGAUUCACUGGGUUUAAAGGGUGCGUAGGAGGGCAGGUAAGUCAGUGGUGAAAUCUCCGGGCUUAACUCGGAAACUGCCGUUGAUACUAUCUGUCUUGAAUACCGUGGAGGUGAGCGGAAUAUGUCAUGUAGCGGUGAAAUGCUUAGAUAUGACAUAGAACACCGAUUGCGAAGGCAGCUCACUACACGAAUAUUGACUCUGAGGCACGAAAGCGUGGGGAUCAAACAGGAUUAGAUACCCUGGUAGUCCACGCCCUAAACUAUGGAUACUCGACAUACGCGAUACACUGUGUGUGUCUGAGCGAAAGCAUUAAGUAUCCCACCUGGGAAGUACGACCGCAAGGUUGAA